GCCCUUGUAGCUCAAUAAUUGAGCGUUGGCUUUAAAAGCCACAUGUCGGUGGUUCGAUUUCACCCGGGCGCA
rfam:Phytophthora infestans T30-4 supercont1.38 genomic scaffold, whole genome shotgun sequence.